rnacentral:rRNA from 1 species
AGAUGGCGACCGGCGCACGGGUGAGUAACACGUAUCCAACCUGCCGAUAACUCGGGGAUAGCCUUUCGAAAGAAAGAUUAAUACCCGAUGGCAUAAUUAGACCGCAUGGUCUUAUUAUUUAAAGAAUUUCGGUUAUCGAUGGGGAUGCGUUCCAUUAGGCAGUUGGUGAGGUAACGGCUCACCAAACCUUCGAUGGAUAGGGGUUCUGAGAGGAAGGUCCCCCACAUUGGAACUGAGACACGGUCCAA